GCCGAAGUAGCUCAAUCGGUAGAGCAACUGACUUGUAAUCAGUAGGUUGCGGGUUCAAGUCCCAUCUUCGGCUCCA
rnacentral:tRNA from 1 species